ACUCAAAGGAAUUGACGGGGGCCCGCACAAGCGGUGGAUUAUGUGGAUUAAUUCGAUGCAACGCGAAAAACCUUACCUACCCUUGACAUGUGAGGAAGGCCUAAGAGAUUAGGCUGUGCCCGAAAGGGAGCCUCAACACAGGUGCUGCAUGGCUGUCGUCAGCUCGUGUCGUGAGAUGUUGGGUUAAGUCCCGCAACGAGCGCAACCCUUGCCAUUAAUUGCCAUCAUUUAGUUGGGCACUUUAAUGGGACUGCCGGUGACAAACCGGAGGAAGGUGGGGAUGACGUCAAGUCCUCAUGGCCCUUAUGGGUAGGGCUUCACACGUAAUACAAUGGCCGGUACAGAGGGUAGCCAACGAGCGAUCGGGAGCCAAUCCCUAAAAAGCCGGUCGUAGUCCGGAUUGUUCUCUGCAACUCGAGAACAUGAAGUCGGAAUCGCUAGUAAUCGCGGAUCAGCAUGUCGCGGUGAAUACGUUCCCGGGCCUUGUACACACCGCCCGU
rnacentral:rRNA from 1 species